rnacentral:rRNA from 1 species
UACAGGGGGGGCAAGCGUUGUUCGGAAUUACUGGGCGUAAAGGGUUCGUAGGUGGCCAACUAAGUCAGACGUGAAAUCCCUCAGCUUAACUGGGGAACUGCGUCUGAUACUGGAUGGCUUGAGUGCAGGAGAGGAAUGCGGAAUUCCAGGCGUAGCGGUGAAAUGCGUAGAUAUCUGGAGGAACACCGGUGGCGAAGGCGGCAUUCUGGACUGUAACUGACACUGAGGAACGAAAGCCAGGGGAGCAAACGGG